CCUCACAUCCUGCUUCAUUUCCUUUGAAAUCCAAUCUAGGCCCAAAAUCCGUAAUACCCAAAUCAAAAGCCCUAACACCUCAGCCCCAGUUACCUCCUCCAAUCUCACAUGCUCUCUCGACUUCUUGCUUAGCAAUCAGUUUCUUGUCGCCCUCGAUUUCUGCUUAGCAAUCGAUUCUUGUCGCUCGUUUGAAAUUGAAUGGGUAGCAGGCUCAGAUCAAAUUUGUAGGUUGCAGAGGUCUUCGCCAUUGAAGCUCCCUCUCCUCCAUCUCUAUCACCUUCCCAUUUCAGUCAACAGCGCCACUUCUAUCUCGCCGUCGACAGACUCCAGUUCAAGAUGGAGACAUUUAUGGACCUGUUGGGCGUGGCGGGAAGGCGUCCUUGUCUUCCAAUGGUGGUCUGCUACAGCUCACGUGACGAGCUCGACGCCGUUAGCUCCACCGUCGCAACCGUCCCCUAUAUCUCUUUAGCCCCUCUGGGUGCACCACUUUGCAUUUAGGGCUAAAUACUGGUUACUACCAUGUGGUUUAGGUCCAAAAUCAAUUCAGUCCCUGGACUUCUAAUUUUAUCAAAAACACCCCUGCAGUUUCAAUUUUGAUCUAAUAGGUCCAAUUUGUUAGUCUUCCGAUAAUUGAGUCAUUUAACUUGUUGACAUGGCUCAUAUAUGGCCUAUGUUUUAUGAUGUGGUGUUGAGGUGGCAUGCAUAGUCAAUUUAGGAGUGGGUCUCACUAUUAAAAAUCUAUCAAAUAAAAAGUUUUUCAUCAAAUAAUCCAACUAUAAGUUGAACCCAUAG